rnacentral:rRNA from 1 species
CAUGCAGUCGAACGGUGAAGGGACCAGCUUGCUGGUUCUGGAUGAGUGGCGAACGGGUGAGUAACACGUGAGUAACCUGCCCCCUUCUUCUGGAUAACCGCAUGAAAGUGUGGCUAAUACGGGAUAUUCUGGGUCAGUCGCAUGACGGGCCCGGGAAAGAUAUUGCUUCGGUGGGGGAUGGGCUCGCGGCCUAUCAGCUUGUUGGUGGGGUGAUGGCCUACCAAGGCGGUGACGGGUAGCCGGCCUGAGAGGGUGGACGGUCACACUGGGACUGAGACACGGCCCAGACUCCUACGGGAGGCAGCAGUGGGGAAUAUUGCACAAUGGGCGCAAGCCUGAUGCAGCGACGCCGCGUGAGGGAUGGAGGCCUUCGGGUUGUAAACCUCUUUCGCCAGUGAAGCAGGCCUGCUCCUUGUGGGUGGGUUGACGGUAGCUGGAUAAGAAGCGCCGGCUAACUACGUGCCAGCAGCCGCGGUAAUACGUAGGGCGCGAGCGUUGUCCGGAAUUAUUGGGCGUAAAGAGCUCGUAGGCGGCUGGUCGCGUCUGUCGUGAAAUCCUCUGGCUUAACUGGGGGCUUGCGGUGGGUACGGGCCGGCUUGAGUGCGGUAGGGGAGACUGGAACUCCUGGUGUAGCGGUGGAAUGCGCAGAUAUCAGGAAGAACACCGGUGGCGAAGGCGGGUCUCUGGGCCGUUACUGACGCUGAGGAGCGAAGCGUGGGGAGCGAACAGGAUUAGAUACCCUGGUAGUCCACGCCGUAAACGUUGGGCACUAGUGUGGGGGGCCUUUUCCGGGUCUUCCGCGCCGUAGCUAACGCAUUAAUGCCCCGCCUGGGGAGUACGGCCGCAAGGCUAAAACUCAAAGGAAUU